rnacentral:rRNA from 1 species
GACGAACGCUGGCGGCGUGCCUAAUACAUGCAAGUAGAACGCACAGUUUAUACCGUAGCUUGCUACACCAUAGACUGUGAGUUGCGAACGGGUGGGUAACGCGUAGGUAACCUGCCUGGUAGCGGGGGAUAACUAUUGGAAACGAUAGCUAAUACCGCAUAAUAUUGAUUAUUGCAUGAUAAUUGAUUGAAAGAUGCUAUUGCAUCACUACCAGAUGGACCUGCGUUGUAUUAGCUAGUAGGUGAGGUAACGGCUCACCUAGGCGACGAUACAUAGCCGACCUGAGAGGGUGAUCGGCCACACUGGGACUGAGACACGGCCCAGACUCCUACGGGAGGCAGCAGUAGGGAAUCUUCGGCAAUGGACGAAAGUCUGACCGAGCAACGCCGCGUGAGUGAAGAAGGUUUUCGGAUCGUAAAGCUCUGUUGUAAGAGAAGAACGGGUGUGAGAGUGGAAAGUUCACACUGUGACGGUAGCUGACCAGAAAGGGACGGCUAACUACGUG